GCUCAAGUCAGUCAGCAAAGCUUAAGAGACGUCGCAACGCAAACCACACAAACACAAUACAAAGGGAUUUAAUUUGGGUCAAUACGACGAGUCAACACUUGCUAGUAAUUAAGUCAGUCACUCUGCAAUGCUGAUAUCUCUUGCUCAACGCGAUUCUGAUUUCUGAGGUGCAACUUCUUUCUCGCGCUGGAGGUUAUAUGGAUGAAAAGUAUGAUGUGUUUCUAAGUUUCAGAGGUGAGGACACCCGCUAUACGUUCACCAGCCAUCUUCAUGCUGCUUUGCUUGGGAAGAAAAUUCAGACUUAUAUGGAUAACAAUCUCGAGAGAGGAGAUGAAAUUGCACCUACCCUUCUCGAAGCAAUAGAGAAAUCAAAGCUUUCGAUAAUCAUUUUCUCAAAAAACUAUGCUUCUUCCACUUGGUGUAUGGAUGAACUUGUGCAUAUUCUAGAAUGCAA